UUCCUGCAGCGGCUGCGUUGAAUAACGACCCCACCCCACCUCCACCUGCACCUCCACCCGCGUUUGCAAACGAAGCCCGGUCUCUGAAGAGGAACCAUGGCUGACACGGAUCAAGUCCCGGUCCCGGACCCGGAGGCCGCCGCCGCCGCCGUCCUGGACGCCCUGAACGCCACCGAGGAGGCGCUGAACGCCACCGUGAAGUUCGUGGCGAGCGCGGAGGGCACGGCGCUGGCGUACGGCAGCCUGGUGCUCAUGGCGCUGCUGCCCAUCUUCUUCGGGGCCCUGCGGUCCGUCCACUGCUCCAAGUCGAAGGAGGUCGGAGGAAAUGAUUACGAUUCUGGGUUCAGAAAUGCAUCAGAAAUGCCUGAAACGAUCACCAGUCGAGACGCAGCGAGGUUUCCCAUCAUCGCCAGCUGCACUCUGUUUGGGCUCUACCUCUUCUUCAAGGUAUUCUCACAAGAGUACAUCAACAUGCUGCUGUCUGUCUACUUCUUCGGCCUGGGAGUCCUCGCUCUGGCUCACACCUUGAGUCCUCUGAUGUCCAGAAUCUUUCCGGCGUCUUUCUCUAACAAGCAGUACCAGCUGCUCUUCACUCAGGGCUCCGACGACAACAAAGAAGAAAUAGUGAACUAUGAGUUUGACACCAAGAACCUGUUGUGUCUGGUCAUCGGCGCCGUGGUGGGAGUCUGGUACCUGCUCAAGAAGCACUGGAUAGCCAACAACCUGUUCGGUUUGGCGUUCGCUCUGAACGGCGUGGAGCUGCUCCACCUGAACAACGUCAAUACCGGCUGCAUCCUGCUGGGGGGGCUGUUUGUCUACGACGUCUUCUGGGUGUUUGGCACCAACGUCAUGGUUACGGUCGCCCGCUCCUUCGAGGCACCAAUCAAAUUGGUGUUUCCUCAGGACUUGUUGGAGAGCGGAUUUGGAGCCAGUAACUUUGCCAUGCUUGGUCUGGGGGACAUUGUCAUCCCGGGCAUCUUCAUCGCCCUGCUGCUGCGCUUCGAUGUCAGCCUGAAGAAGAACAGCCGGACGUAUUUCUACACCAGUUUCCUGGCAUACAUCUUCGGACUGGGCCUCACCAUCUUCGUCAUGCACACCUUCAAGCACGCACAGCCGGCUCUCCUCUACCUGGUCCCGGCCUGCGUGGGCUUCCCCGUGGUCGUGGCUCUGAUCAAAGGAGAACUCACAGAGAUGUUCAGGUACGAGGAGACUCCUCCUGAGGACACGGAGGUGAAGGAGGAGUCAGAAACGGAGAAGAAGGACCAAUAGCAUCCACCGCUCCCCCAAAUACGUUCCACUGAGCCUGCUGCCACCAUAUUUCACUGAUCCACCUCCUCUAACCCCCCCAGGUAUCUGAUCCUCCUCCUCGAAACCCCCCAGAUAUCUGAUCCUCCUCCUCUAAACCCCCCAGAUAUCUGAUCCUCCUCCUCGAAACCCCCCAGAUAUCUGAUCCUCCUCCUCUAAACCCCCCAGAUAUCUGAUCCUCCUCCUCUAAACCCCCCAGAUAUCUGAUCCUCCUCCUCUAAACCCCCAGGUAUCUGAUCCUCCUCCUCGAAACCCCCCAGAUAUCUGAUCCUCCUCCUCUAAACCCCCCAGGUAUCUGAUCCUCCUCCUCUAAACCCCCAGGUAUCUGAUCCUCCUCCUCUAAACCCCCAGGUAUCUGAUCCUCCUCCUCUAAACCCCCCAGAUAUCUGAUCCUCCUCCUCUAAACCCCCAGGUAUCUGAUCCUCCUCCUCUAACCCCCCCAGGUAUCUGAUCCUCCUCCUCUAAACCCCCAGGUAUCUGAUCCUCCUCCUCUAACCCCCCCAGGUAUCUGAUCCUCCUCCUCGAAACCCCCCAGAUAUCUGAUCCUCCUCCUCUAACCUCCCCCCCCGGUAUCCGAUCCCCUGCUUCCAGACCUGGUUCUCGGGGUCCUGGUCAUGCGCCCCCACCCUGGCUUCAUCUCUGGUCGUACACAGUGUUUGUUUGCUCGAUGAUGAUUGGCUCGUCCGUCGUCUACGAGUCAAAGGGGCCGGCGUUCCGCUCUGGAACGAGUAAAAGGAGGAGGAGCCAGUCCUCGGAUCGUAUUGGUCGAGAGGCUGCGAGGGACGGUGCCCCACGGCCCCUCUCGUCCAAUGGGCUGCGAGGGAGCUCCACCUCAAAGCCUCUCCCUUGUAUUGUCAGCUGAAUGAUGUCAUAGCUUUGAAGUCCUGCUGGACGCCAGACGCUCUCCUCGAGCAGGACUUCUCUGUCAGGGGCGGAGAUGCUUUUUUCUUUUUGCAGCUGAACUUCCAAAUAAAAGGUCAAAAGGCAAAAGUUGUAAUGGUUUUUAAAUUUAUACUCAUUUAUAUUAAUUUGACAGGUUUUUUUUUUAAUGGCAUUUUUGGGAAGUAAUGAAAAAGUCUGGAAAAUGAAAUGUCGCUCCCGUGUUCAUUUUCAAGGCCUCCGACUGGACGUAUUUAAACGUUGUUGUUCAUGUUGUUGCUUUACUAUGAGAUGCACCGUUUUGUAUUUAAAUGUAAAAUAUGAAAAUAUGUGGUAUCAUCAUUUUUAAUAAAAUGUGCCUGGCUGUC